GUCCAUGCAAAUAGCAACAACUCUGUUUUCCCAGAUAUGCUCUGAAGGAGGACAAGGACACAGGGGGGAUUCUCCAGCCUCUCCUUAGGAAAGAGUGAAAAAGAAAGUCCUUCUAAGCAGAGGCUUUUAAGAUUGCUAAAACUGCAAAGAUAAGAAGUAUAAGACCUUUCCUGGCAUGGUAAAGAGGAUUCUUGGAGGAGGAAGAGCAUGUGACAAGGCAUGUGAGGAAGGCCUGAAGCUCAGUCCCACACCAGCCAGCUCAUCACUGAUGAUAAAGUCAGUCCACCCUGAGCAUUUCGGUGACCACACGCCCCUAGCAAGCAUUUGAAUUAAGAUGGAAAUACACAUUGAAAUGUUAUGAGAAGAAGCGAGCCUGAAAAAAGGGGACACAUUUAGCAGAUUUAAGGCUGCUUCUUAGUGCAGACCUGGCUCUGUUCUGAACAUUUGGAAGAAACAGUUUUUAAAUAUAACCCACCACAGUGAUUCCUCCACAGAUGCUCAUCCAAGCUGCUCAGUAACCCAGACAGUACACAGUCACUGCACCCACGUGCUCCAGAAAGUUUCCAGCCAAAAGAAAAAAAACAUCAUUACUUAGCCAUGAAAGUCAGCCUCCAAACCCAUGAAUUAAUUGGAAAUUGGACACAGGUGCUCAUGAAAAGGUUGCCUUCUUUUCUAGUUAAUUUUAAAAUUUUGUCAUAAUUUAAAAAACAUGUUGGUAAUUGCAAUAGAAUAAUGGCCCCCAACCUAACAACCUAGAGCUGGUGCAUAUGUUACCUUCUUUGGCAAAAAUAGACUUUAUUAAUGUGAUUAAGUUAAGGGAACAGUAUUUUGUGUUAUCCAGGUGGGCCCAAUGCACUCACAAGGAUCCUAUAAGAGUGGGGCGGGAGGCCCAAAGCCAGUAGGAAGUAGGUAUACAAGUGGAAGCAGGACUUGAUUGCCGUGGUGUAAGGAAGCAAUGGGACCGAGGCAACGGGGUGUCUUUUAAAGCUGGAAGGUCAAAGAAACAUUCUUCCCAAGUGCCAUCCUUCCUGGAAGGAACCGGUCUUGCCAAUACCCUGACUUUGGCCAGUGAGACUAAUGUUGGACUUCUCACCUCCACAACUGUCA